rnacentral:rRNA from 1 species
UACAGAGGGUGCAAGCGUUAAUCGGAAUUACUGGGCGUAAAGCGUGCGUAGCCGGUCAUGUAAGUCGGGUGUGAAAGCCCCGGGCUCAACCUGGGAAUUGCAUUCGAGACUGCAUGGCUAGGGUGCGGAAGAGGGAAGCGGAAUUUCCGGUGUAGCGGUGAAAUGCGUAGAUAUCGGAAGGAACACCAGUGGCGAAAGCGGCUUCCUGGUCCAGCACCGACGUUCAGGCACGAAAGCGUGGGGAGCAAACAGG